rnacentral:rRNA from 1 species
UACGGAGGAUCCGAGCGUUAUCCGGAUUUAUUGGGUUUAAAGGGAGCGUAGGUGGACAGUUAAGUCAGUUGUGAAAGUUUGCGGCUCAACCGUAAAAUUGCAGUUGAUACUGGCUGUCUUGAGUACAGUAGAGGUGGGCGGAAUUCGUGGUGUAGCGGUGAAAUGCUUAGAUAUCACGAAGAACUCCGAUUGCGAAGGCAGCUCACUGGACUGCAACUGACACUGAUGCUCGAAAGUGUGGGUAUCAAACAGGAUUAGAUACCCUGGUAGUCCACACAGUAAACGAUGAAUACUCGCUGUUUGCGAUAUACAGUAAGCGGCCAAGCGAAAGCAUUAAGUAUUCCACCUGGGGAGUACGCCGGCAACGGUGAA